UCCCUCCAGGUCUAAAUGAAUAAAGAGAUUUAAGGUUAGCUCUGCUUCAGAGCCACAGAGACAUGAGCACCAUCAAGUUUUAGGUUGGGUGAGGAUCUUCAGAACUCCUCAGCUUUAGAUAGCCAAGCACUGUUUCAUCCCUUCUUCAACAGCAUCUCUAGCAUAUACACUUUGCUUAAAUCCACCUUUGCAGCGUUUGCUGAUGGAAGGGGCACAACAGAGCCCAUGCCUUUGCCUCCUCUGGCCAACUCUAAUCAUAAAUCUCCUGUGAAUCAGCUGGGAAACAUGCAGAAUAUGAGAUUGAGGCCCUCAUUCAUACUAACUGGAAUUUUCCUUGGCAAUUGUAGAACAGAAACUUCUCCAUUCUUUAGAGAUGAACUUGCCUUAGGUAAGAUCUUCUCAGAGUACAAAAGAAAUUUAUUCUGGAAAUUUCAAACAAAUAUGGCCUCCUCACUGGAACUGGAACUGGAUCCACCAUCCCUUUUUCUCAGUGUCUUAUUGUUUUUGUUUUAGAUCUUUCACAAGGUGAGCUACAUCUCUGAGAGGAGCUCCUGGAAAUUACCAUUGAUACUUCUUAUUGCCAGCUCUACAGAUGGAAAUGAUGCACCUUGAUGAGGAAUGAGUACUGAGCCCAAGUCCUACAAAUGGGCUCAUACCAAAGACUUAUGAAUUAGAUAUCAAAUUACAAAAUACUAGUGUAGUUAAUACCUGUUUAGAUGAUGUAAAGCAAGGUAAUGGGAGUAUGUAUUAAAAGCAAAAAUUCGCAUGAAGCAGAACUGUUACCCUCUUCCAAAACCUCCCACUCUCAAGUUUUAAGAGGCAAUAAACCUAAAUGUACAUU